GCUUACUCGAUCGCUCACCAUCA
rnacentral:snRNA from 1 species